UUUCGGAGAGUUUGAUCCUGGCUCAGAGUGAACGCUGGCGGCGUGGAUUAGGCAUGCAAGUCGAGCGAUGCGGAUUUAUGAGUAAGGCCGACCGCAAGGAAGGUUUUACAAGUGGAUUUGCAUAGCGGCAAACGGGUGAGUAACACGUGAGCAAUCUACCCCUAGGACUGGAAUAGCCCGGAGAAAUCCGGGGUAAUGACAGAUGUGACUACGAUCUCUCAUGAGGACGUAGUAAAAGACGGGGACUUGUCGCAAGACAGGCCCGUCACCAAGGGAGGAGCUCGCGGCCUAUCAGCUUGUUGGUGAGGUAAUGGCCCACCAAGGCGAAGACGGGUAGCUAGUCUGAGAGGAUGUUUAGCCACACUGGAACUGAGACACUGUCCAGACUCCUACGGGAGGCUGCAGUCGAGAAUCUUUAGCAAUGGGGGAAACCCUGACUAUGCGACGCCGCGUGAGGGAUGAAGGUCUUCGGAUUGUAAACCUCUUUCGACCGGAAAGAAUAUCCUGACGGGUAAUAUCCGUCAGGACUGACGGUACCGGGAGAAGAAGCCACGGCCAACUCCGUGCCAGCAGCCGCGGUAAUACGGAGGUGGCGAGCGUUACUCGGAUUUAUUGGGUGUAAAGGGCAGGUAGGCGGCCUGACAAGUGGGGAGUGAAAUCCUGCGGCUUAAUCGCAGAACUGCUUUCCAAACUAUCGGGCUUGAGUGUGGGAGAGGAGAAUGGAACUCCUGGUGUAAGGGUGAAAUCUGUAGAGAUCAGGAGGAACACCAUUGGCGAAGGCGAUUCUCUGGACCACAACUGACGCUGAACUGCGAAAGCUAGGGGAGAGAACAGGAUUAGAUACCCUGGUAUUCCUAGCCGUAAACGAUGAGUACUGGGUGUUUCGGGUUAAACCGAAGCGCCGAAGUUAACACAUUAAGUACUCCACCUGGGGACUACGGCCGCAAGGUUGAAACUCAAAGGAAUUGACGGGGGCCCGCACAAGCAGUGGAACAUGUGGUUCAAUUCGACGCUACGCGAAGAACCUCACCAGGGUUUGACAUAUAGGUAGUAGGAACCUGAAAGGGGGACGACUCGUUAAGCCGAGUGCCUAUACAGGUGUUGCAUGGCUGUCGUCAGCUCGUGCCGUGAGGUGUUGGGUUAAGUCCCGCAACGAGCGCAACCAUCAUCCUUAGUUGCUACCGAAGGAUCCGAAAGGGUUCUGGCGAGCACUCUAAGGAGACUGCCCGUGAUAAACGGGAGGAAGGUGGAGAUGACGUCAAGUCCGUAUGGCCCUUAUACCCUGGGCUACACACGUGUUACAAUGGGAUGUACAGAGCGUUGCCAAACCGCGAGGUGGAGCUAAUCGCAAAAAGCAUCCCCCAGUUCAGAUUGGAGUCUGCAACCCGACUCCAUGAAGUUGGAAUUGCUAGUAACGGCGGAUCAGCUACGCCGCCGUGAAUACGUUCCCGGGCCUUGUACACACCGCCCGUCAAGCGAUGGGAGCCGGUAGUACCCGAAGUGGCGACAACGCCCCUAAGGUAAGACUGGUGACUGGCGCUAAGUCGUAACAAGGUAGCCGUAUCGGAAGGUGCGGCUGGAUCACCUCCUUUCUA
rnacentral:rRNA from 1 species